rnacentral:rRNA from 1 species
GAUUAAGUUAUUAAGGGCGCACGGUGGAUGCCUUGGCACUAGAAGCCGAUGAAGGACGUUACUAACGACGAUAUGCUUUGGGGAGCUGUAAGUAAGCUUUGAUCCAGAGAUUUCCGAAUGGGGAAACCCAGCAUGAGUUAUGUCAUGUUAUCGAUAUGUGAAUACAUAGCAUAUCAGAAGGCACACCCGGAGAACUGAAACAUCUUAGUACCCGGAGGAAGAGAAAGAAAAUUCGAUUCCCUUAGUAGCGGCGAGCGAAACGGGAAGAGCCCAAACCAACAAGCUUGCUUGUUGGGGUUGUAGGACACUCUAUACGGAGUUACAAAGGACGACAUUAGACGAAUCAUCUGGAAAGAUGAAUCAAAGAAGGUAAUAAUCCUGUAGUCGAAAAUGUUGUCUCUCUUGAGUGGAUCCUGAGUACGACGGAGCACGUGAAAUUCCGUCGGAAUCUGGGAGGACCAUCUCCUAAGGCUAAAUACUCUCUAGUGACCGAUAGUGAACCAGUACCGUGAGGGAAAGGUGAAAAGUACCCCGGAAGGGGAGUGAAAUAGAACCUGAAACCGUGUGCUUACAAGUAGUCAGAGCCCGUUAAUGGGUGAUGGCGUGCCUUUUGUAGAAUGAACCGGCGAGUUACGAUUUGAUGCAAGGUUAAGCAGUAAAUGUGGAGCCGUAGCGAAAGCGAGUCUGAAUAGGGCGUUUAGUAUUUGGUCGUAGACCCGAAACCAGGUGAUCUACCCUUGGUCAGGUUGAAGUUCAGGUAACACUGAAUGGAGGACCGAACCGACUUACGUUGAAAAGUGAGCGGAUGAACUGAGGGUAGCGGAGAAAUUCCAAUCGAACCUGGAGAUAGCUGGUUCUCUCCGAAAUAGCUUUAGGGCUAGCCUCAAGUGAUGAUUAUUGGAGGUAGAGCACUGUUUGGACGAGGGGCCCCUCUCGGGUUACCGAAUUCAGACAAACUCCGAAUGCCAAUUAAUUUAACUUGGGAGUCAGAACAUGGGUGAUAAGGUCCGUGUUCGAAAGGGAAACAGCCCAGACCACCAGCUAAGGUCCCAAAAUAUAUGUUAAGUGGAAAAGGAUGUGGCGUUGCCCAGACAACUAGGAUGUUGGCUUAGAAGCAGCCAUCAUUUAAAGAGUGCGUAAUAGCUCACUAGUCGAGUGACACUGCGCCGAAAAUGUACCGGGGCUAAACAUAUUACCGAAGCUGUGGAUUGUCCUUUGGACAAUGGUAGGAGAGCGUUCUAAGGGCGUUGAAGCAUGAUCGUAAGGACAUGUGGAGCGCUUAGAAGUGAGAAUGCCGGUGUGAGUAGCGAAAGACGGGUGAGAAUCCCGUCCACCGAUUGACUAAGGUUUCCAGAGGAAGGCUCGUCCGCUCUGGGUUAGUCGGGUCCUAAGCUGAGGCCGACAGGCGUAGGCGAUGGAUAACAGGUUGAUAUUCCUGUACCACCUAUAAUCGUUUUAAUCGAUGGGGGGACGCAGUAGGAUAGGCGAAGCGUGCGAUUGGAUUGCACGUCUAAGCAGUAAGGCUGAGUAUUAGGCAAAUCCGGUACUCGUUAAGGCUGAGCUGUCAUGGGGAGAAGACAUUGUGUCUUCGAGUCGUUGAUUUCACACUGCCGAGAAAAGCCUCUAGAUAGAAAAUAGGUGCCCGUACCGCAAACCGACACAGGUAGUCAAGAUGAGAAUUCUAAGGUGAGCGAGCGAACUCUCGUUAAGGAACUCGGCAAAAUGACCCCGUAACUUCGGGAGAAGGGGUGCUCUUUAGGGUUAACGCCCAGAAGAGCCGCAGUGAAUAGGCCCAAGCGACUGUUUAUCAAAAACACAGGUCUCUGCUAAACCGUAAGGUGAUGUAUAGGGGCUGACGCCUGCCCGGUGCUGGAAGGUUAAGAGGAGUGGUUAGCUUCUGCGAAGCUACGAAUCGAAGCCCCAGUAAACGGCGGCCGUAACUAUAACGGUCCUAAGGUAGCGAAAUUCCUUGUCGGGUAAGUUCCGACCCGCACGAAAGGCGUAACGAUUUGGGCACUGUCUCAACGAGAGACUCGGUGAAAUCAUAGUACCUGUGAAGAUGCAGGUUACCCGCGACAGGACGGAAAGACCCCGUGGAGCUUUACUGUAGCCUGAUAUUGAAAUUCGGCACAGCUUGUACAGGAUAGGUAGGAGCCUUUGAAACGUGAGCGCUAGCUUACGUGGAGGCGCUGGUGGGAUACUACCCUAGCUGUGUUGGCUUUCUAACCCGCACCACUUAUCGUGGUGGGAGACAGUGUCAGGCGGGCAGUUUGACUGGGGCGGUCGCCUCCUAAAAGGUAACGGAGGCGCUCAAAGGUUCCCUCAGAAUGGUUGGAAAUCAUUCAUAGAGUGUAAAGGCAUAAGGGAGCUUGACUGCGAGACCUACAAGUCGAGCAGGGUCGAAAGACGGACUUAGUGAUCCGGUGGUUCCGUAUGGAAGGGCCAUCGCUCAACGGAUAAAAGCUACCCCGGGGAUAACAGGCUUAUCUCCCCCAAGAGUUCACAUCGACGGGGAGGUUUGGCACCUCGAUGUCGGCUCAUCGCAUCCUGGGGCUGUAGUCGGUCCCAAGGGUUGGGCUGUUCGCCCAUUAAAGCGGUACGCGAGCUGGGUUCAGAACGUCGUGAGACAGUUCGGUCCCUAUCCGUCGUGGGCGUAGGAAAUUUGAGAGGAGCUGUCCUUAGUACGAGAGGACCGGGAUGGACAUACCUCUGGUGUACCAGUUGUCGUGCCAACGGCAUAGCUGGGUAGCUAUGUAUGGACGGGAUAAGUGCUGAAAGCAUCUAAGCAUGAAGCCCCCCUCAAGAUGAGAUUUCCCAACUUCGGUUAUAAGAUCCCUCAAAGAUGAUGAGGUUAAUAGGUUCGAGGUGGAAGCAUGGUGACAUGUGGAGCUGACGAAUACUAAUCGAUCGAAGACUUAAUCAA